rnacentral:rRNA from 1 species
CUGGGCGUAGACGCGAAACCUGGUGAUCUAAGCCUGUCCAGGGUGAAGCUGUGGUAAGACACAGUGGAGGCCCGAACUCACCGCCGUUGAAAAGUUGGGAGAUGAGGUAGGUUUAGGGGUGAAAAGCCAAUCGAACUAGGAGAUAGCUCGUUCUCUCCGAAAUGCAUUUAGGUGCAGCCUUGAGUGUUUAAUUAUGGGGGUAGAGCACUGAAUGAACUAGGGGGCAUAUUGCUUACUGAAUUCAAUCAAACUCCGAAUACCAUAAUUCAAAGCUCAGGAGUGAGACUAUGGGAAUUAACUUCCAUUGUCAAAAGGGAAACAGCCCAGACCACCAGCUAAGGUCCCUAAUUAUAACUAAGUGGGAAAGGAGGUGGAGAUUCACAAACAACCAGGAGGUUGGCUUAGAAGCAGCCAUACCUUUAAAGAGUGCGUAAUAGCUCACUGGUCGAGAGUCUCUGCGCCGACAAUGUAACGGGGCUAAGUUAUAAACCGAAGCUGUGGAAUUGCGCAAGCAAUUGGUAGGAGAGCGUUCUGUAGGCCGUUGAAGGAGAAGCGUAAGCAACUCUGGAGGUAUCAGAAGUGAGAAUGCAGGAAUAAGUAGCGAGAAAGGGGGCGAGAAUCCCCCUCGCCGGAAGACCAAGGUUUUCAGGGUAAAGCUUGUCUUCCCUGAGUAAGCCGGGACCUAAGCCGAGGCUAAAAUGCGUAGGCGAAUGGAAAACAGAUUAAUAUUUCUGUGCCAGUUAUAUUUUGUGAAGGAGGGACGCAGAAGGGUAUGUGCGCGGGAGAACGGAAGUUCCCGUAGAAGCAUGUAGAGUGGUCUAGUAGGCAAAUCCGCUAGAUUAGACUUGAGGUGUGAUAUAUAGUCGUAAGAUGAAUGCACAAAUCCCACGCUGCCGAGAAAAGCUUCUAACGUUAAGGUAUAACUGCCCGUACCCGAAACCGACACAGGUGGUCAGGAUGAGAAAUCUAAGGCGGACAGGCUAACUCUCGUUAAGGAACUCUGCAAAAUAGCCCCGUAACUUUGGGAGAAGGGGUGCCCCUGAAUGUUAAUAUACACGCGAUAUGAAGCAUUUGGGGGUCGCAGUGAAGAGGCUCAAGCAACUGUUUAACAAAAACACAGGUCUAUGCUAAGCUGUAAGGCGAUGUAUAUGGGCUGACACCUGCCCAGUGCCGGAAGGUUAAGAGGAGGAGUGAGAGCUCCGAAUUGAAGCCCCGGUGAACGGCGGCCGUAACUAUAACGGUCCUAAGGUAGCGAAAUUCCUUGUCGGGUAA